UUCUAAAAAAAAUAAUUUGGCGGUAUUUUAUUCUAGUUAGAGGAAUUUGUUUCAUAAUUGAUAAUCCUCAUUUCAUCUUACUUAAUUUUAUUUAAUUUGUAUAUCGUUGUCGAAAGAAUUUUUUUAAAAAAAUUAUAAAUUUUCAUUUGGUUUUAUUAAAAAAGAUGUCAAAUCAAGGUGCAGUUUAUAAUUAAGAAGAAAUGAAUUACAAUAAAUUUAUUUAUUAUGAAUUAUAAAUUUAAAUAUUUAUAUGAAAGUGGAUUUAACUGUAAAAUUAAUUAAAAUGUUAAUUUGGUAUAAGUUUUAAAAUAUGCACAAAUCGCCCU
rnacentral:rRNA from 1 species